rnacentral:rRNA from 1 species
UCCUACGGGAGGCAGCAGUGGGGAAUAUUGCACAAUGGGGGAAACCCUGAUGCAGCCAUGCCGCGUGUGUGAAGAAGGCCUUCGGGUUGUAAAGCACUUUCAGUCGUGAGGAAAGGGUGUAAGUUAAUACCUUGCAUCUGUGACGUUGGCGACAGAAGAAGCACCGGCUAACUCCGUGCCAGCAGCCGCGGUAAGACGGAGGAUGCAAGUGUUAUCCGGAAUCACUGGGCGUAAAGCGUCUGUAGGUGGUUUAAUAAGUCAACUGUUAAAUCUUGAGGCUCAACCUCAAAAUCGCAGUCGAAACUAUUCAACUAGAGUAUAGUAGGGGUAAAGGGAAUUUCCAGUGGAGCGGUGAAAUGCGUAGAUAUUGGAAAGAACACCGAUGGCGAAGGCACUUUACUGGGCUAUUACUAACACUCAGAGACGAAAGCUAGGGUAGCAAAUGGGAUUAGAUACCCCAGUAGUCCUAGCUGUAAACAAUGGAUACUAGAUGUUGAACAGAUCGACCUGUGCAGUAUCAAAGCUAACGCGUUAAGUAUCCCGCCUGGGAAGUAUGCUCGCAAGAGUGAAACUCAAAGGAAUUGACGGA